GGAGACUACGUAAUGAACAGGAAAGAAGAUUCCAGAGCUGUUUCAGAAAGUGGCAGGAAUGUGAUUUUUGGGUUCUGCUGAAUGCCAAGGUCAUGGGAGACAAUAUCGCCAAGCGUCACACACCCAGACUUUAGAAAGGGUGCGGGACAGGCAGCAAUAUACCAUGCCUCGCAAAACAGACGCAAGCUUCUGAGGACCCAGGAAUUUGACAAACACAUGGCCGCCAGAAAUGCAGCAGAGUGGGGCUCGCUCCCUCAGCCCUCUCAUCUCAGGUGAAACUUCAGCUCUAUGACCCUUUCCCUUUGCAUUUGGAACACUGUAUUACACUCUAGUGUACAUGACAAUCUGUGAGCCCUUUCA